UCAGUCGGCUGGACGGCCGCUCGGACGUAGGCCGAAAGGCGGUCCGGGAGGAAAGUCCGGGCUCCAUGGGCAUACGGUGCCGGAUAACGUCCGGCGGGUGUUGAGCCCAGGGAAAGUGCCACAGAGAACAGACCGCCGCCCGCAUCUCUCUCCGCUGAGGGGAGUGACAGGGCGGUAAGGGUGAAACGGUGCGGUAAGAGCGCACCGCGCCUGCGGCAACGCAAGCGGCAUGGCAAACCCCACCGGGAGCAAGACCGAAUAGGGACGGCGCGAGGCUCGCGGCCAGCGAGCCUCGGGAUCAAUGUCCGGAUCCGGCCGUCCGGGUAGGUUGCUCAAGGCGCCGGGCAACCGGCGUCGCAGAGGAAUGGCCGUCACGCGAGGGCGCUUCGCCCUUGCCGACAGAACCCGGCUUAUAGGCCGGCUGAUGCU
rnacentral:RNase_P_RNA from 1 species